rnacentral:lncRNA from 1 species
GGUAGCGAAAUGAACAGUGGAAGACCCGUGGGACGAGGAGGUGAGAUGAAGUGGAGAUCUUGGGCUUGCUUUAAAGGACCAGCCAGGGAUAUUUUAAAAUAUGAGAGCCCUCAGUAUGUGCUUGGCUCAUCACACGUGAAGCUGCUACUGUGGGUCAACUUUCUCUACUGAAUAGACUGCCUUUCUUUCUGUGCCCAAUUCUCAAAUAUCCAACAAAUCCAUUUUAAAUAGAAGCACCGGACUCAGGAAUUCUGGAAUGCUGGAGCUCCUUCACCUUAGACACGACAGAUGGGAAAUCUGAAUUGGGAACAUUAGGAAAGACCAACAUCAACUUAGUUUACAAAUCAUUAUUUUAUAAUUUUACAUUUCCCUACAGGUAAACUGAUAUGUGAUUAGCGAAAUACACUGUGACUACCAAAGAUAAUGCAUUUAUUAACUAUUCUUUGCUGAAGAUCCAACUUAAAAAAAAAAUA